rnacentral:rRNA from 1 species
CUGGCUCAGGACGAACGCUGGCGGCGUGCCUAAUACAUGCAAGUCGAGCGGACGGAUGGGAGCUUGCUCCCGGAAGUCAGCGGCGGACGGGUGAGUAACACGUGGGCAACCUGCCUGUAAGACUGGGAUAACUUCGGGAAACCGGAGCUAAUACCGGAUAAUU